GAUGAACGCUGGCGGCGUGCCUAAUACAUGCAAGUCGAGCGAACGGACGAGAAGCUUGCUUUUCUGAUGUUAGCGGCGGACGGGUGAGUAACACGUGGAUAACCUACCUAUAAGACUGGGAUAACUUCGGGAAACCGGAGCUAAUACCGGAUAAUAUUUUGAACCGCAUGGUUCAAAAGUGAAAGACGGUCUUGCUGUCACUUAUAGAUGGAUCCGCGCUGCAUUAGCUAGUUGGUAAGGUAACGGCUUACCAAGGCAACGAUGCAUAGCCGACCUGAGAGGGUGAUCGGCCACACUGGAACUGAGACACGGUCCAGACUCCUACGGGAGGCAGCAGUAGGGAAUCUUCCGCAAUGGGCGAAAGCCUGACGGAGCAACGCCGCAUGAGUGAUGAAGGUCUUCGGAUCGUAAAACUCUGUUAUUAGGGAAGAACAUAUGUGUAAGUAACUGUGCACAUCUUGACGGUACCUAAUCAGAAAGCCACGGCUAACUACGCG
rnacentral:rRNA from 1 species